rnacentral:rRNA from 1 species
AUUGAACGCUGGCGGCAGGCCUAACACAUGCAAGUCGAGCGGAUGACGGGAGCUUGCUCCUUGAUUCAGCGGCGGACGGGUGAGUAAUGCCUAGGAAUCUGCCUGGUAGUGGGGGACAACGUUUCGAAAGGUACGCUAAUACCGCAUACGUCCUACGGGAGAAAGCAGGGGACCUUCGGGCCUUGCGCUAUCAGAUGAGCCUAGGUCGGAUUAGCUAGUUGGUGGGGUAAUGGCUCACCAAGGCGACGAUCCGUAACUGGUCUGAGAGGAUGAUCAGUCACACUGGAACGGGGACACGGUCCAGACUGCUACGGGAGGCAGCAGUGGGGAAUAUUGGACAAUGGGCGAAAGCCUGAUCCAGCCAUGCCGCGUGUGUGAAGAAGGUCUUCGGAUUGUAAAGCACUUUAAGUUGGGAGGAAGGGCAGUAAGCUAAUACCUUGCUGUUUUGACGUUACCGACAGAAUAAGCACCGGCUAACUCUGUGCCAGCCGCCGCGGUAA